rnacentral:misc_RNA from 1 species
GACGAGCUCUCCAAACGUUAUUCGGUAUUACUGGGCUUAAAGAGUUCGUAGGCGGCUUUGUAGGCGAGAUGUGAAAGCCCUCGGCUUAACCGAGGAACUGCGUUUCGAACCACAGGGCUUGAGGGAGAUAGGGGUAAGCGGAACAGAUGGUGGAGCGGUGAAAUGCAUUGAUAUCAUCUGGAACACCGGUGGCGAAGGCGGCUUACUGGGUCUUUUCUGACGCUGAGGAACGAAAGCUAGGGUAGCGAACGGG